AACGAACGCUGGCGGCAGGCUUAACACAUGCAAGUCGAACGCCCUAGCAAUAGGGAGUGGCGCACGGGUGAGUAACGCGUGGGAAUGUACCGUUUAGUGGGGGAUAACCAAGGGAAACUUUGGCUAAUACCGCAUACGCCCUUCGGGGGAAAGAUUUAUCGCUAAACGAUCAGCCCGCGUGCGAUUAGGUAGUUGGUGGGGUAACGGCCUACCAAGCCGACGAUCUCUAGCUGGUCUGAGAGGAUGAUCAGCCACUCUGGAACUGAGACACGGUCCAGACUCCUACGGGAGGCAGCAGUGGGGAAUAUUGGACAAUGGGGGCAACCCUGAUCCAGCCAUGCCGCGUGAGUGAUGAAGGCCUUAGGGUUGUAAAGCUCUUUUACCGAUGAAGAUAAUGACGGUAGUCGGAGAAAAAGCCCCGGCUAACUUCGUGCCAGCAGCCGCAGUAA
rnacentral:rRNA from 1 species